rnacentral:rRNA from 1 species
UACGUAGGGUGCAAGCGUUGUCCGGAAUUAUUGGGCGUAAAGGGCGCGUAGGCGGCCUGGCAAGUGGAAGGUGAAAUCCCUCGGCUUAACCGAGGAACUGCCCUCCAAACUGCUUGGCUUGAGUCCGGGAGAGGUGAGUGGAAUUCCCAGUGUAGCGGUGAAAUGCGUAGAUAUUGGGAGGAACACCAGUGGCGAAGGCGGCUCACUGGACCGGAACUGACGCUGAGGCGCGAAAGCGUGGGGAGCAAACGGGG